UACAGAGGUCUCAAGCGUUGUUCGGAUUCAUUGGCGUAAAGGGUGCGUAGGCGGCGCGGUAAGUCGGGUGUGAAAUCUUGGAGCUUAACUCCGAAACUGCAUUCGAUACUGCGGUGCUUGAGGACUGGAGAGGAGACUGGAAUUCAUGGUGUAGCAGUGAAAUGCGUAGAGAUCAUGAGGAAGACCAGUGGCGAAGGCGGGUCUCUGGACAGU
rnacentral:rRNA from 1 species